UCCCAAGUGAUCUAGUGGUUAGGAUUUCGCGCUUUCACCGCGACGGUCGGGGUUCGAUUCCACGCUUGGGAA
rnacentral:tRNA from 1 species